AGAGUUUGAUCAUGGCUCAGAACGAACGCUGGCGGCGUACUUAACACAUGCAAGUCGGACGAGAAAGGAGACUUCGGUCUCUGAGUACAGUGGCGUACGGGUGCGUAACACGUAAGUAAUCUGCCCCGAACUCCAGGAUAACCCUCCGAAAGGAGGGCUAAUACUAGAUAGGGUCCCCGAGGUGUAGGCUGCGGGGGGAAAACGGGCCUCUGUUUCAUGCUCGUGGUUCGGGAUGAGCUUGCGGCCCAUUAGCUUGUUGGUAGGGUAAUGGCUUACCAAGGCUGCGAUGGGUAGCUGGUCUGAGAGGAUGAUCAGCCACACUGGCACUGAGACACGGGCCAGACUCCUACGGGAGGCAGCAGUGGGGAAUUUUGCGCAAUGGGCGAAAGCCUGACGCAGUAACGCCGCGUGGAGGAUGAAGGCCUUCGGGUUGUAAACUCCUGUCAGGGGGAACGACGGGGAAAGGGUGACAAAUCCUUUCCUCCAGACGGUACCUCCAAAGGAAGCCCCGGCUAAUUCCGUGCCAGCAGCGGCGGUAAUAC
rnacentral:rRNA from 1 species